rnacentral:rRNA from 1 species
GACGAACGCUGGCGGCGUGCUUAACACAUGCAAGUCGAACGGGAAGGCCCUGCUUUUGUGGGGUGCUCGAGUGGCGAACGGGUGAGUAACACGUGAGUAACCUGCCCUUGACUUUGGGAUAACUUCAGGAAACUGGGGCUAAUACCGGAUAGGAGCUCCUGCUGCAUGGUGGGGGUUGGAAAGUUUCGGCGGUUGGGGAUGGACUCGCGGCUUAUCAGCUUGUUGGUGGGGUAGUGGCUUACCAAGGCUUUGACGGGUAGCCGGCCUGAGAGGGUGACCGGCCACAUUGGGACUGAGAUACGGCCCAGACUCCUACGGGAGGCAGCAGUGGGGAAUAUUGCACAAUGGGCGGAAGCCUGAUGCAGCAACGCCGCGUGCGGGAUGACGGCCUUCGAGUUGUAAACCGCUUUCGCCUGUGACGAAGCGUGAGUGACGGUAAUGGGUAAAGAAGCACCGGCUAACUACGUG